AAAGAUGCCUCCUAAAACUCCAGGCAAAGUGGAACUGGUUUUGGGCUUUCUAUUUCUGUCUGUAUCACUGACUUGCUGUGCAAACUCUGACCAUUUAGUUCCCUGGCGGGUUCCUCUGUUUGUCCUCUGGCGAAAUCAAGCCAAAUCCUUUUGUCAAGAGCCUUUGCACCUAUGGGGAGUGAGAGGAGACAGCUGCUGAAGCUUACUGGAGGGCCUGGCAUGCCUGCAUCAGGUGUUCUUCAUCAGUGGAGACUCUGAAGGAGCCAAGGGGCAGUAAACAAGAGCUCUGAAAAGGGAAGGAAGCCAGGAGAAAGCCAGCUCCAUUAGUCACGCAGCUGCAUAUCCUGUCACAAAGGACCCCAGUUGAGUAAUCACCCAAAAUAUGCCUGUUAUUUUUUUUCUGUCACCAAAAAAAAAAAGAGUGAGGCCUUCAAAAAUGUACUGUAAAAAAAGAAGAGAGAAAGAGAAAAAAAAAAAAAAGAAACUGGUCUCUGAGCCCCAGAGGGAAAGGGAAAUAAAGAACAAACAGGCGUAGCUUCUCAGCGCUUGCUAACCCUCUCUCCGACUUGUCUUUAAAAGAAAACAUUUUCCAACUGUUCACGGCCAUGAAACCCACCAGGCCUGGAGGAAGCUGGCUUCGUGGGACAUUUGAGAGUUCUUGGAGAUAUGCGGUGCCUGGUACUGAGACAGACAGCAGCAGUAGGAGACAGUGGAAGGGAGCAGUGUGGAGACAGGAGGGAACAUUAACAGGAAAGGGCCAGGCUAGUGAACAAGUCCUUUGAUGGCCCUUACAUGCACAGCUUCCCUACGAGCAUCAGAGGAGCCCAGCAGGGGUCAUGGACAUCAGCCAGAGGCCAAGUCUGCUUUGUCCUAACCUUUCCUGAUGGCCUCAACAAAACGGACAUCAUCUCAGGCCUCAGCCUUGACAGUGGCGUUUGAGUCACAGAUGAAGGACAGUGGGUUUGACUCCAGGGCAGUCUGAAGAGCAGGACCUGGGAAGGACAAGCUGGUCAGAGCUGCCUACAACUGCAAAUAUUUUCCUAGAUGAAGCUUCCCAAACCCCAGGAUGUCGGGCUUCUAGUGAGGAAACUGAGACACAGAAGGGAGUCCUGUCCAGUCACUGCCACUGUCCCAUCCUUCUAGUCCUCUGAUUCUCAGGACCAGGCCUUGGAGGGGAGGGCUUGGUCCAAGUCCAGAGUGUUCUUGGAAAGUCAUGCUUUCCUUCCCACUAACAUUUUGAUCCAAUCAGAGCUAUCCCCAGGGAAAGGGGCUUUUAGUUCCCAAUUGAACAAAAAGUAACAGGAAGCCUCCUCCCUAAGAAAGAAAAUCGGAGACUACUUAGGGGGAGCAAGACAGACACACUCUCCCUUUUGCUUUCCGGCUCUCUGGAUCUGUCCUAGCAGGAGCAGUUAAAAGAAGGGCUUUUCCUGGGGUGCUUCCAGGGACUUGGGCCCUAGCACUUGGCUGUUCAGCCACUUUGGGCCAAGAUAGUGUCCCCACCAUGGUUACAGAAAGGCCAACAUUUACCCAAACCAGGGCUCCCUUCAGCUCUUUGAUGCCUUGGGUCCUGUCUGAGGCCCAGUACCAAAACCAGUCCCAAAUCUCCCAACCUGUCCUGCCUGGGUUGUGCCUUCCACCAGAAAGCUCAUAGGCACCCAUGCCCACCCGAAGGAUUCUUAGAAAGAGGUUGGUAUGGCUUGCUGUGGAGAUCUGCCUGCUCCUGGAGGGCGCACUCUCCUGCUGGCUGCCUCGCAGAUUCACUGUGGAAUUUAUGUGACUUCAGCAUACUUGCUCUGACCAUUUUCCCCUCACUUCAGGAUUUAUCGGCAACAGCCUUUAGUGGCUUAAUAACAGGAAUCCACUCUGGGGAGUUCAUCAUUAGGUUACAUGGUCCUUGUGUGGACAUCACAGAGUGACUUGCACAAACCUACACAGUACAAGUCAGUCACUUGGUGUGGCCUUUUUUCUUCCUCUUUAUUCUUUUUGGCAGUAACAGGAAUUGAACCUAGGUCUCAGCACUGGGUUGUGUCCCCAGUCUCUCUCCCUUCCUUUUUUCUUUGAGAUAAGGUCUCACUAGGUUACUGUUGUACAUGCAGGGCUCAAACAUGUAAUCUCUUGCCUCAGCCAGUAGGGGAUUACAAGCAUGCACUCUGUGCAUCCUUUCAAUGCAAUCAAAACAUGCAGUAAAUACAAGAUAUAUGAAACUGCUGUCCGUGUAACAUGGCAUACCAUUUUAUAAGUAGAAA